rnacentral:rRNA from 1 species
UACGUAGGGACCAAGCGUUGUUCGGAUUUACUGGGCGUAAAGGGCGCGUAGGCGGCGUGGUAAGUCACUUGUGAAAUCUCUGAGCUUAACUCAGAACGGCCAAGUGAUACUGCUGUGCUAGAGUGCAGAAGGGGCAAUCGGAAUUCUUGGUGUAGCGGUGAAAUGCGUAGAUAUCAAGAGGAACACCGGUGGCGAAGGCGGGUCUCUGGGCCGAUACUGACGCUGAGGAGCGAAAGCGUGGGGAGCGGACAGG